CCUACGGGAGGCAGCAGUGAGGAAUAUUGGUCAAUGGGCGCGAGCCUGAACCAGCCAAGUAGCGUGAAGGAUGACGGCCCUACGGGUUGUAAACUUCUUUUAUAAAGGAAUAAAGUGAGGCACGUGUGCCGUGUUGUAUGGACUUUGUGAAUAAGGAUCGGCUAACUCCGUGCCAGCAGCCGCGGUUAUACGGAGGCUCCGAGCGUUAUCCGGAUUUAGUGGGGUUAAAGGGAGCGUAGAGGGGUUGUUAAGUCAGUUGUGAAAGUUUGCGGCUCAACCGUCAUAUGGCCCUUGAUACUGGCAGUCUUGAGUACACUUGCGGUAGGCGGCAUUCGUGGUGUAGCGG
rnacentral:rRNA from 1 species